GCCGCCUCUAGGGAUGGAUGGUCAGACUCUGCGAAAGGCUGCGAGAAGCCGGUCCUGCUCGCGGGAGAAAAAGGAGUUCUCGGCGUUCUCGCGACCUCAGCCUUCCCGGGAAUCGGGAGCUGCCCCCUUCCAUAUGGACGGAUCUCAACUGCUUUGUUUAAAAAUGUAAGAAAAUAAAAGGAAGAGAGAGGGGAAAAAAAGACAGUGCCAGCCACUGGUGCCACACGACGAGAGCCUGCCUGCCUGAUGUGACAGGAGACAUUCCAAAUCGGCACUUUCCCCCGGAGCGAAGCCUUUAAUUCACAUUUCCGGGCAGAGAAGAAUGAAAUCCAUUUUACACGCAACUGUCAAGUGUGUUCCCAGUGGUCAAGUUACUGUCGUCCGUCUGCCCUGUCUUGAGGCCUUGGUCUCUGUCGCUUUGAGAAGCUAGAGAGGGGGGGCCCUGGUGACCCUGACACCUUCUCAUUUCUGCAGGGUGGAUACGUCCCAUGGUGGCGUUAGGAGCUGUGCAGCCUGGCGCCGGACAGCCUGGAUCCCGAGGCUGUGUCACCACUCAGGUGACUUACCUGUCCUGCCUGUGACUGGGCUUCCUCUUGGAAUGAGUAGGGAUGACAGAGGCCCUGCAUCACAGGGGUGGGGUAAAGACUCAGUGAGUUAAUAGGCGUGACGUCCUUCGAAUGGUGCCUGGCACGUACGAGGCACUCAGUAUAUGCCGAGUGCUAUGAUUUAGGACCAGCAGGGUUCGCGUCGCCGGGUUAAAACACUCCUCCCUUCAGAAUCAGAGGACGACGAGAGUCUUGCCCAGAAAAAGCGGGACGUGGACUGGGCCCGUCAGUGUGCCUUGCCCUUAGGUGCAGUGAGUUGGCAUAAGCUGUCCCAUCAGAAUUAUUGCCCCUGAAUCACCAGCCUGCUCUGAGACCCCUGCCGUCGGGCUGGGAGCUGCAGGAAACGUGACGGAGACGCAAUGUCCGUGGCCCAGGCGGCACCACAGCAAGGCCGAGACUUGAGCCUUGAAAAGCAAAGAGAGUCCGUUCUGAUAAAGUGCCAGGAAGGUGAUUGACAUGUCUAAAACCUUCGUGGUAUCAGCUUAGCUUCCAGCGCAAGAUUACACUCUAGGAAAAACCCAUCGGAGAGCAGCAGUGUGUGAGCGGAGAGAGAUAACGUUGUCAGCUUCCCCUUCCCGAGUCUGUCUGGACCAGCAACGUGCUCUCCAGCCAAGCAUCGUCAAGGUUUUUUGCAUCCGCGGCUCUUAGGCAGGAAAUUGCCUUGGAAGGAUCUCCCUUUACCUUCCACCCCCAAAAUCACUUGAUAGAAUACGGCAUCUGAUUAGAAAAGAGAAUGACACUAAGAGAAGGAGCCUCCUGCAAACUACUCGUGCGAGGUGUGUCUCCUGGGUGAACAUGGGCCCGUGAUAACUGCCCCUCAGUCUGGGGACACGUCUGCAGGAGCCAGGCAAGGGCCGUGAGACUUGGAGGCCAUGUGGUCCCCAGUCCCGAGUCGCCCCCCCUGACUGUGGGCACGCUCAUGCUCCCCUCUUUGGAAACCCCUUCCUUCUGUGGCCCCCAGGUCACGUCAGGUUCACUGGGGCCAAUAAGCCACAUCUCUCAGGCUCUGCCAAGUGACAGAAGCUAUCCUCAAACCAGCUGCAACAGAAAGGGGAAUGUGUUGCCUCACCCCGCUGCAAAGUUCAGGGGUGGGUCACACCAGGCGUGGCGGGCGCGAUCCAGGUGCUGUGACUCAGUUGCUCUGGAACCUGCCUUCUUUUGUGACAGGGCCCCUCUCUAGCAGACUGUUCCUUCUGGAUGCAAGCUGGUUGCCACUGGCUGCACAGACGCCAGCCAAUGCAUGGGCUCCAGGGCCAGACUGCCGGGGCUUGCA